rnacentral:snRNA from 1 species
GUGCUUGCUUCAGCAGCAUAUAUAAUAAAAUUAGAAUGAUGCAAGAAAAGAUUAGCAUGGCCCCUAUGCAAGGAUGACAUGUAAAUUUGUGAAACAUUCCAUAUAUUU